AUCUACCCCCAAUCAAUUGUGAGGUCAGACCAGGAAGACAGAGGCCAAACCCAGCAUCACACUUUGACCUGCCCGGGAACACAGUGGCUCCUGGGAAAUAACCACUAAAGUCUUGAAAUGUCUUGAGUGAUUGGAGGACCUUUAUUUUUCACGCCUGAUGCCUUAUGCUGAUGAGAUGACUCAGCAGGGGAUGGCCAGGCCAGAAAGACCAAAACUGUAUCCUGAGGUUUGAGUUUCUGAGCCAGGUGAUGUCAUCCUCCAGCUUGGCCGGCCUCUUUCUGGGAGCCUCUGGUGUGAAAGAGAGCAGAUUUAUUAAAAAUCAUCAACUUCAAAUUAUUUGGAUGGAAACAUUGCCAAAUCAUAGAGAUGUUUGCUACCACCCGCACACCAAGCAGCUGGGUAACUAGAAGUGCAGGAUCAGCUUAUUCACCUCCGAAAGCCUGCAUGCAACCACUGAGGCCGCCUCUAUUUUUUACAUAGUUCUACUUGGUGUAUGUAACCCCACAGAGAAACCUGGAAGAAUGCAUGAAACCUAGUAAGGCAACCAGCACAUGCAACAGAAUGAACCGUUUCUUUCCAUCUGAAUGCCUAAAUGUGGACUCUGAUCCUUUCUACCAAGUCCUAAGUUUGGGAAAAGAGGACAAGGACAGGGGCUCUGUCCCAUAUCAUAAUGUGCUUGUGAAUGGCUAAAAUUACAAUGCUGAGAUAAGUGUGUGUAAUAAAAUAAUUGCACCCCGAAUUGAAGAA
rnacentral:lncRNA from 1 species